ensembl:lncRNA
CUUUGAGAUUUGGUGUUCUCUGUUCAGAAAUGCCUUUGACUCAGUAAUGUUAUUCUGCAAGAAAGCGUCUGACUUCUCUUUUCUUGGGGUGGAAUAUUUUCACUGAAUUUGAAUGAGUCAAGAAAAUUCUUAGUUCUCAAAUGUUAUCAAUACCCUGUUUUUAAGCAUGGAUCUUCAGUAUCCAUACUCCUAAGAGUAAAUAUUUUAAAGUGUGUAGUAAAGCCUCAUGUCAGAAAGUGGAUGUUUUUCUUCUCUGUAGCACGUGCAUGUCAGUAUUGUAGAAGCAACUUGUACGUCUGCACUUGGCAACGCGAAGGUCAGGACAGAAACAGCAAGCAGGAUGCAUGCAGGUCAGGCCUGAGCAACCUCACUGAUGUGCCCAAGCAGGCUGUUGCUAGAGCAGGAUCAGCAGAGAGCAUGGUGAGCAUCACAAUAGGUCUUUUAAGUGUUAAGUUCUUGUUUACUUUACUUUCAUCUUCCUGAGGGAAGCUUUUCAGGGUUUAUUUUACACUGUCUUCCUA